GCAUUAAACUCUUUACUAAAAAGCAAAAAUUCAGGAUGAAGGAAAAGUAUGCUCCAAUUGUAUCUUAUCUAUGAAAUACAUUAAAUGUAAAGACACAUUUAGAUAGAAAGCAAAUAGUUGUAAAAAAUGUAUACCGUACAAAUAGGAAACAAAUGUCUGGAGUGGAUAAAUUAUUAAUAAGUAAAAUAUGUACUGUUUUAUAAGUAUGACGGAAAUUUGUAAAAAGUAGAGAAAAGUGUGAGGAUCAGCAAUAUUCAGAAAUUACCAUUUCAAAUCAAUUGGUCAAGGUAGACCUCAUGAAACAUGUGGCAUUUAAAUAACAACAGAAGAAGCUUUGCAUGAUUAAAAAGUGAGGAAAAUCCACAGAAAAGAAACUCAGGGACUUGGAGAAUAGACUUGUGGUUGCUGAGCGGGGGGAGGGGAAGGGAGUGGGGUGGUUGAGGAACUUGGGGUUAAUAGAUACAAACUAUUGCCUUUGGAACAGAUUAGCAAUGAGAUCCUGCUUUGUAGCACUGGGCACUAUGUCUAGUCACUUAUGAUGGAGCAUGAUAAUGUGCGAACAUAGAAUGUGUACAUGUAUGCGUAACUGGGUCACCAUGCUGUACAGCAGGAAAAAAAAUUGUAUUAGGGAAACAACUAUUAAAAUAAUAAUAAUAACAAAGACAAAGAAGUGAGGAAGAUCAAGUUCGGUGUCAUAACCUAGUUAGAGUGCUAAUGCUACUGGUGCUGUUGAUGCUGAUGAGAUGACUGGUCUCCAGGUUAUUUCCUCAGUCAUUGUAUAAAUAAUGCUGUUCCUUGUAUCAUUCACUCUGAUCCUUGUAUUAUUCACAUGCCCUUCCCUGACUGUUCCAAAAAACAAAGAGAAGAAACUGGAUCCAUUAUCUCAAGUCUUGGGAGAGAAGGACCUGGAAUUUCCCCUACUAAAGACUGUAAUCAGUGGUGAAGAGAAUCUAAGAAGACAGAAGGACAGCCAGCAAGGAUGAUCCCUAUUUAUGGCAAUGUAGAGAAGAAGUCCUGGAAACCGGAAGUACUGAUGCUCAGAGACACAUCAAAUGGAUCUAAGUGUACAACAUUAAACUCUUUUGGCUACUCUAUAAAAUACAUUUAAAAUCUUCUAAUGAUUCCUAUAGAUAUAACAUUCUUUCUGUUUAAUCCUUAAAGAAAGAUUAGAUUUGGUGAGCAGAAGAACUGCUUACUAGAACAGUUAUUAUCCUGGGUCAUUUGGGAGGUGGUGCUCUGGAUUGUCAAAUUAGGGUGCAAAUCCUAGCUAUAUUUUGGAUUAAACUGCCAUCGUCAUUCCUCAUGAUUGCAAACUUUUGAAUAAAAAUUGGCCUGGCAUGGGCUUCAUUGUCCUUAAGAUAUGUUUUAGGAAGGAUAGACUUGGCUAUCCAAAGUCCAAAUAGACUUUGGAAUCUCUGUUUAUUGCAUUCAAGUAACAGUCCAGUGCAGGUCAGGCAGCUCCUGAGCAGCUCCCCUCCAAGUGGUGACUCAGGUACCAAGGAUGCUCCUGUAUUUUAGUACAUCUAAAAAACAUGUACAAUGUUUUGUUAGUAGCAAAGGUUAAUGAAAUAGAAUACAGGAAUAGAGAAUUGUUCAGUAUUGUUUUAAGAGCUGGGUCCAAAAGUAUUUUACAUUAUUUCUGCUUCCAUUCAACUGACCUGAACUAAGUCACAUGGUCCCCAAUCUAAUUUCAAGGGAAAAAUAACAGUUGCCUUAUGUGUUGAGGAAGAGAAAAUGGUGUGUUGAAUACAUAACACAGUCUUGGUCACAGUCCAAAUUCUAGUCAACAAAGUAUUUGUCUUAUUCAUCCUCUCAUAAAUCAAGCCAACUCACAUCUGCCUCCCAGGCACAAAGGAAAUAACCCAGUGCUCCUCCAUUCACCGCAACUUGGGUGUGGAGGAAUCUUGGGAUUCAGGACCUCUGUCCUCUCCACCAGGUCGGUCUGUGGCUCCUGAUGGUCAGGUGACCAAUGAAUCAAAAAGGCAUUUAUCUGCAUUCUCAUCUUACCUCCAAACCUGGGAUAUCUGCAAUAAAUAUCCUGAAUUGGGAAGAGGAAAAAUAAAAGAUAUACAGUCAGUGUUCUUUAGUGAUUCUGAAAUACCGAUGCACAGAUACUGUGACAGUCUCACACUCGAGGUGAGGGGAGGGUAGGAAGAAAGAUGUUGCUGGACUAGGCCUUGCUUCUACUCCCUGGGAAGAAUUACAUUGUCAUUUCUUCUCUGUGGCUUCUCUGGCUAUGACCCCUUGGAGCCUCCUCCUUGUCAUUAUUCUCCUGGCCACAUCUGAAAAGAGUUUGGAAAGCAUGCCAUCCUUGGAGGAGGCAUUCCAGGGCGCUUUCUAUAUGUUAGAUUACAAAAGUUUAUGUUAGCAUUGGAAUCUAAAAAUGCUUUUCUCAAGGGUGCACUUGCGGUUUCCUUGACGGCAAAACUUUGUAGAUUUCUGAUUUUAUUUGCUUCGGUCAGUGUCAUACAGCCAGUAAUCAUACCCAAAGUUAUUUCCUAAAAAAAAGAAUAUUCAAAUAUAUUUAUAUCUAGAUCUUCUACCCUCAUGCCUUUCUCCCACUCAACUUCAAGGUGGCUGUAAUUGGAUUCUUUGAACAAUUUCGGUCAAGCCAAAUCCUACUCUGACGUUUGCCCUGAGACCCUUCAACUAGAAAAAAAAGGUUUUUUUUUUUGGUCUUUUUAGGGCCACAGCAGCAGCGUAUGGAGGUUCCCAGGCUAUGGGGUCCAGUCGGAGCUGUAGCUGCUGGCCUAUACCACAGCUCACGGCAACGCCAGAUCCUUAACCCACUGAGCAAGGCCAGGGAUCAAACCCACAUCCUCAUGGAUACUACUUGUUUCCACUGAGCCAGGAUGGGAACUCCAAAAAAAAAAGACCACUUUUUUUUUUUUUACUAUGUCUUGUUACUAAAAGUCUUUUUAGUUCAUUUUUUUCAGUCUCUUCCAAUGCUGAAAGUCCUUAAAUUUAUGAGUUUUCUUUCACUUCUGCUUACAAGCUGACUUUUUCUUCCCUGAGCUCAUUGCUUCUUUGUAAUACUUUGUGAACUGUGGUUAAAGAUAGACAACACACACUAGGGCUAUGAAGCAUUUUAGCAUCUAAAUAGAAAUCAUUAGUAGGCAUAUAAACUUCCCUCAAAUUUAGCAUAGGCGGUGGUUUUUAGCAAAGAUUUUUCCAUAUUCCCAGACUUAUCCCCAUCACCUGCCAUCUAACCUCAGGCUUUAUAUUUUCAAUUUUUUUUUGGAACAGUGCCCCACUCGAAGGUUACAAUUUUUAUAUUAAUGUAAGUUUAAUGAAA
rnacentral:lncRNA from 1 species